UGGUCCAUCCUAAUUCCUGUGGGUCAGUCUGUGGCCUGCCAGGUUUCGCUUGUGGACCAGAGCACCCCAGAAGUCUCCCCGCGCAUGAGCACAGCUUCAGUGGGCUGGUGCCAGGGGCACUUCUGGACACUC